GACGAACGUUGGCGGUGCGCUUAAUGCAUGCAAGUCGAGCGAGAAGCAGUUGUUCCGUAAGGUUCGACUGUGGACAGCGGCGAACGGGUGCGUAACACGUGAGAAACCUGCCCCCCAGACCGGGAUAGCCCAGGGAAACUUGGAUUAAUACCGGAUACUCUCCUCGGACCGCAUGGUCUGUUGAGGAAACAGUCCGCUGCUGGGGGAUGGUCUCGCGGCCUAUCAGGUAGUUGGUGAGGUAACGGCUCACCAAGCCGAAGACGGGUAGCUGGUCUGAGAGGACGAUCAGCCACACUGGAACUGAGACACGGUCCAGACUCCUACGGGAGGCAGCAGCAGGGAAUAUUGCACAAUGGGCGAAAGCCUGAUCCAGCGACGUCACGUGAAUGAUGAAGGCCUUAGGGUUGUAAAAUUCUUUUAGUGGAGAAGAUAAUGACGGUAUCCACAGAAAAAGUCCCGGCUAACUUCGUGCCAGCCGCCGCCGUAACAC
rnacentral:rRNA from 1 species